AAUGAACGUUGGCGGCGUGGAUUAGGCAUGCAAGUCGUGCGGAAGUGGCCCGCAAGGGUUACUUUAGCGGCGAAAGGGAGAGUAAUACGUAGGUACCUACCCCUGGAACCGGGAUAGCUGCGGGAAACUGCAGGUAAUACCGGAUAACGUCUCCGGACCAAAGGUGUGAUUCCGUCUGGGGAGGGGCCUGCGUCCUAUUAGCUAGUUGGUGAGGUGAUGGCUCACCAAGGCGAAGCUGGGUACGGGGUAUGAGAGUAUGCCCCCGCUCACUGGGACUGAGACACUGCCCAGACACCUACGGGUGGCUGCAGUCGAGGAUCUUCGGCAAUGGGCGCAAGCCUGACCGAGCGACGCCGCGUGUGGGAUGAAGGCCCUCGGGUUGUAAACCACUGUCAGAGGGGAUGAAGUGCCAUGGGGUUCUCUCCAUGGUUUGACAUAUCCUCAGAGGAAGGACGGGCUAAGUUCGUGCCAGCAGCCGCGGUAA
rnacentral:rRNA from 1 species